CACGUAGGGGGCGAGCGUUGUCCGGAUUUAUUGGGCGUAAAGAGCUCGUAGGCGGUUCCGUCAGUCGGGUGUGAAAACUCUGGGCUCAACCCAGAGACGCCACCCGAUACUGCGGUGACUAGAGUCCGGUAGGGGAGUGCGGAAUUCCUGGUGUAGCGGUGAAAUGCGCAGAUAUCAGGAGGAACACCGGUGGCGAAGGCGGCUAUCUGGACAGUAACCGACGCUGAGGCGCGAAAGCUAGGGGAGCAAACAGG
rnacentral:rRNA from 1 species